GUUACCCAGACUGGUCUCAAACUCCUGGCCACCGGUGAUCCUCCUGCCCCAGCCUCCCAAAGCUCUGGGAUUACAGGUAUGAGCCCACUGUGCCCAGCGGCACCCCCUCCACCUUUUUCUUUAAAAAAAUAAAUAGUGGCAAGCUCUUGCUAUGCUGCCAAGACUAAUCUCAAACUCUUGGGCUUAAUUGAUCUUCCCACCUUGGACUCCCAAAAUGCUGGGAUUACAGGACAACACCCAGUCAGGUAUAGCCUUUGUCUGCAUGAUCCAAGCUAGAUUGUGGGUACACUCAUGUUCUAGGUCUCAAGAAGAAUAAAAAAUAUGGAUGAGGCACCUUUCUUUUUUCUUUUUUUUCUUUUUCUUUUCUUUUUUUUUUUCAGACAGAACCUCACUCUGUCACCCAGGCUGGAGUGCAGUGCCACGAUCUCGGCUCACUGCAACCUCCGCUUCCCGGGUUCACGCCAUUCUCCUGCCUCAGCCUCCUGAGUAGCUGGGACUACAGGUACCCGCCACCACACCUGGCUAAUUUUUUGUAUUUUUAAUAGAGAUGGGGUUUCACCGUGUUAGCCAGCAUGGUCUUGAUCUCCUGAUCUCAUGAUCCGCCAGCCUCGGCCUCAAAGUUCUGGGAUUACAGGCGUGAGCCAACGUGCCCAGCCGAGGCACCUUUCUUAAGGUCCCAGCCCAUAGGUGGUCCACAUCACUUCUGCCUACAUUCCAUGAUCAGGAGCUUAGUCACAUGAUCAGCCCUAACUGUAAGGUGGCUGGGAAAUAUAUAUAUAUGUAUGUGUCUACAUAUAUGUGUGUAUAUAUAUGUGUGUGUGUGUGUGUGUGUGUGUGUGUGUAUGCAGCCAUAGGCCGAGUAGUUCAAUUAUUGUAGAAGAAGGAAAGAAUAGGUUUUUGGAUAGUGUCAUUACAUCAACCUAGAUGUGACCCAGAUACCACCAAGUAGAGGCUCUUCAGUUAUUAUGAGCAAUUAGGUCAGAGUUUUUGUUAAAGUGGAAACAGGGAAAGUAUGAUCCAUAGAGGACAUAAGGACAUAGGAUCCCUUCGAGUAAUGGAACAUGUCCCAGGGGCUUGAAAAGAGACUGUUUUGUUUGUCCUUCCAGACAGGGGAGUUCAGGGGCAUUCAGCAGCAGACAAGGGUGAUGGAUACCCAGAACAUUGCUUAUGAAAUGAUUUAUAUUUUUAAUAAUACUUUAUAGUUUACAAGGAUCAUUUGUACAUAUUGUUUGAUUGGAUGUUGAAAACAUUCCUCAUUAGGGACAGCUAGACGUAGAGAGAUGAAAGGUCUUGCACAAAAUCACACAAUUCAUAAAUAGCAAAGGUGAGAUCUGAACCCAAGUCUUCCUAGUUUCAGUCCAGUGCUUUUUACCAAAUAAAAAUGCUACAUAUUGAUUUUUUUUUUUUAUCCUGGGAGGGUGACUAGUUGGACAUCUCAAAUGGAGUAAGGACUUUACUUUUUCACUGGACUUUACUUUUUCAGUUUCCAUGUAAUUUGGAUGUCAUUGUGAAGACGUCAAGAGUCAUGUCCACAAAGAUAAUACUGGUUAUUACUUGGUGACCACCUACUGUAAGCCAGGCCCUGAGCUGGACACUUUAUUUAUAUCUUAUUUAUUCCUCCUAAUGAUCCAGCAAGGUAGGCAUUAUUACACCUAUCUUGCAGAGGAGGAAGCUGAAGAGGUUAGGUAACUUUUCCCAAACAGAGAGCUAGUAAGUGGGUAAGCCAGGUCAUGAAUCCAAGUUAAUCUGCUAUCUUCCCUCUCAGUGCUGCCUUGAAGGACGAGGGGUAUCUGCUGCUCAGGCCUCAGGAAUGGACACAUAGGCUUCAGGCCCAUGAGGACCUCCUGGACUAAGAGCCAGUCUCACUGCCACCUGUCAGAGCCUUCUUCAAGGGAGUAAACAGAGGGGCAGGACUCACCUCACUUCGUGCUGCCAGGGCUAGAGCUAUCCUUUCUCCCCACUCCAUUCCCACCUUGCUGGGUGAGCCUGCAGUUUUUCCAAGGCAGGGCCAGCCUGUCCUGUGCUGCAAGAUGUAUUAAUCAAUUUGAUGGGGAUGUUAAAGCUUUCUCUUUGCAACUAAUUAUGGCCUGAUUUAUAGGCCUGGCCUUGGUUUGAUAGAGCUCUCCUCAUGACAGGGAUGAAUGUGGUACUGGCAUGGACCCCUUCAUCUCUUCCAUUUCUCUCUCUUCCUCCCUCCUCCCUCCCUCCCACGGCUCCUGCCUCCUGCCUCUGCUCUUGGUUCCCACAGGAACACCCUAAUGACAUGUUGACAAGCUAGUGAAGCAUGGCUCCCUCUCUGUUGCAUCUGCCUCUGGCACCACCAUUCCUCCUGUAUUCUCUGACAUGGGCAGAUGGGUGCUGUGCUGGAGGAAGCUCUGUACACCCUUUCCUUCUGGAAACAAGAAACAAUAAAAAUAUUUUGGGUUGAUGCAGCAUCUUCCUUCCCAAACAUUCCAAGAGCUUGUUGAAAUAAACUUUAUCCCUGAUGGAACUUCCAGGUAAGAUUUCAGAACACUUGCUGUGAGCUCCAAAGCAUGUUGAAGAGCGGGGCUGUCCAUGUUGAAUCCUGUUAGUCAUGCAGCUGAGGGAAUUCCAAUCACCUGACCCGGGUCUGACCGCAGUUACCAGUCUCAAGUCUGAGCAGCGUCUCCAGUGCUGGGCUGCCUUCUUGACUCCAGGAGGCAUGCCUGCUCUUACAAUGAAACUCAAGUCUUUUUUUUUCCUUCCCACAAGUUUGGCUUCUACUUUUCUAAGUGCUGUUCAUCAUAUACUCUGUGUUGUAAGUACUCAGCUCUCUAGCAUCUCUUUAUACUACCUUUUAUUCUUCUGGAAUAUCCUUCCUUCCCACCCACAAGCAUAUUAGGCAAAACUUGCCCACCGUGGUAACUGGAAACAGGACUGAGGGGAAGGAAAACUCUCUCCCAGGUGCAUGGAGUGGGAACUCAUUUAGGGCAUCUUUAGUGCCAUACAUAGAACCUGGAAUACAAUAGGAGCUCAAUUAAUACAUGUUAAAUGGAUAAAUAUUGGUUAAAUGCAUCAUGUUUCUAUACAAUUCUCUUUAAACUAUAAACUCCCCAAGCACAAAGUUAAGAACUAUGUCUCUCUUAUCAGACAAGAUGCCUCCUAACCCAGAUUAUACAGGAGCAUUGUGAGGGCAAGCCCAUGCCAACUCCACAUUCUGUGAGCUCCCAAAACUCCACCAAGGACCUUGCUUAAUGAUGACUUAGACCAGGGUUUCUCGACCUCAGCAUUAUUG
rnacentral:lncRNA from 1 species